AUUGAACGCUGGCGGCGUGCUUAACACAUGCAAGUCGAUCGGUAACAGGUGUAGCAAUACAUGCUGACGAGAGGCGGACGGGUGAGUAAUGCUUGGGAAUCUGCCUAUUAGUGGGGGACAACCCGGGGAAACUCGGGCUAAUACCGCAUACGCUCUACGGAGGAAAGCCGGGGACCGCAAGGCCUGGCGCUAAUAGAUGAGCCCAAGUCGGAUUAGCUAGUUGGUAGGGUAACGGCCUACCAAGGCGACAAUCCGUAGCUGGUCUGAGAGGACGACCAGCCACACCGGAACUGAGACACGGUCCGGACUCCUACGGGAGGCAGCAGUGGGGAAUAUU
rnacentral:rRNA from 1 species